GACAGUGUAGUAACCUGAAAGUCCCAGAAGUGCCAGUAGCAGACUGAUUUAUUUCUGAGUUAUCUUUCUGGAGGAAUACGUCACAUUACUAAAAAGAGUGAUAGGAAGCAUUAUUAUGUCUCUCCCGAAAACGCCAACCUCACCGUUAAUCUCCCCAGCAUCUUCUGACCCUAGGAAGUCAAAAGUAUCUGCCGUUAAGGAGACAAGAGGACUUCCUGAUAUAAGGGAGAAAAAAAUAUGGUGGAUAGUUCCAAACUUCUUCCUACUUCCCUUCAGAAUGAAUUCAUCCCUGAGGAAGUUCUGCUUUCUCUGAGCUAUGCAACCAGUGCUGGUCCUUGUCUGGAAAAUUUACUGCCUCCUAUGAAAGUUAAAACCCCUAAGGGUACCCUUCUAAGUGCUGUAGACCAUGUCUGGCACCACCCUAUUCAAAGGAAUACAUUCAAAUACCUGAUUGACCAUCCUGACUCCCUAACAGGAGCUGCACGGUAAAGAAGGACGAGGUCAGGAUAGAGGCAGAUAAAUAGAGUUGUCUUCUCAUUUCAUAUGCUAUCCUUGGUAGGGGCAGGAUUGAAAAUAUAAAAUCGUUGAUUAGAAAACAUGUUGUAUCUUUGGUAAAUCAGAAUACAAUCUAGAAGGUCAAAGGAUCACCAUUUUGUGUGUGGUCGUCAUCAGCAUGAUAGCUAUAGGGCUGGGGAUUUAGCUCAGUGGCACUAUGUGCCUGCCUUGCAAAUGCAAGGUCCUAAGAAAGAAAGAAAGAAAGAAAGGAAAGAAAGAAAGAAAAGAGGAUAGAUCUAAAUGCAGACUGUACAUGCUUAAUUUUUUUGCAUGCAUUUGUCAUAAUUGUCUUAAUACUGUCCUAUUCCUUGUUUUUCUCUGUUAAAAUGGUUAGGGUCUGUAGGCAGAAUUACUUUAUAAUGCAUUUUUUUGGGUACUGGGGAUUGAACCUUGCCUUCACACCGAGCUACAUCCCAUCCCUUUAAACAUUUUUUAAAUUUUGUAAUUGGUGUCACUAAGAUGUCCAUGCUUGGAUUAAACUUGUGAUGCUGCUAUCUCUGCCUUCCAGAGUGCUGGGAUUGUAGGCAUGUGUCACCAUACCAGGUGGUGGGAUGCUUUUAGUGCCUCCUUUUUUUUUUUACAUCUUAGAAGAAACAUAGCUUCAUGACAUGGAAAAUCUUGAAGGACAAGUCUUUAACUCCUGGUUCUUUUCAAAGGGAACCCUUUGCAUGAUUUCAGAUCAAAUCAGCAAAUACUAUUUUUUUUUUUUAUGAUUCGAAACAUACUCUAAAUGUCCAAUAUUUUUUCCUGUGAAGAUUGUGACCUGUUCAUUUUCUAAGUAUUGUGUUUUUUUUGUUUGUUUGGUCUUUCUGUUUGUUUUUUCCGGUACUGGGGAUAGAACUCAGGACCUUGUGCUUGUGAGGCAGGCCCUGGAACCACUGAGCUAAAUCCCGGGCCCCUAAGUAUUAUUUAUCUAUGGAUUUUUUCCCUAGGCAGACCUCUGUAUAUGUCACUUUCUUUCUUUUUGUUUGUUUGCUUUUUCCCAUCAUUUUCAUCUGAAAGGGUUACUGUACUUGGAUAGGUUAUCUAGUCUUUCUGAAGUUACUUUUCUCAUCUGUAAGAAAGGGGGUGAUCGGCUUUUUCAAUUUUGUGUGCCUUCCAGGGAUAUUGUAAAGCACAAAUGAGAUAAUGGAUGCAAGAGCACUUGUAAAACCAUUCGUGCGGUGUCUAAGUAUAAGGUGUUAUUACUCAG
rnacentral:lncRNA from 1 species